rnacentral:lncRNA from 1 species
CUGAUGGCUGUGGGUGACGGGGUUAGGCAUGUACAGGAUUGCGGGACAUGAGAAGCUUUUUCCUCCCUAAAAGGGGAAACCUGAGAGCUGAUGGGACUGCUGGAAAAAAUCCCUUCACGAUAGCAGCCACCUGAUCUUUUCAGUGUCACUACUAUGGCUUGGCCCCCAGGGCUGUGGUGCAGCCGUCUGGGUCACUAGGGCCACUCAGGGAAAGAAAACCCAGAAGCCUGGCAUGCUAGCAAAAGGGUAAGAAUUUAUUACCACUCAGACUUCCGGCCUCUUUCUCUCUUUUUUUUUCUCUGUUUCUCUCUCUCUCUCUUUCUCUUUCUCUCUCUCUCUGUGUGUGUGUGUGUGUGUGUGUGUGUGUGUGUGUGUGUGUGUGUGUGUGUGUGUAAACUGGAUGAGGUUUCCCUUUGGUCAGUCAUGUCCUUGGGAGCUUGACCUUGUAACCACGUGGCAGUACUUUCUCUUGGUCUCCACCAUCACAAUGGUGGCCUGGGUUCUGGGGCUAAUUCCCAGCCUAGGGGAUGAUCCUUUCUUUUCUGUCUGUCUAUGUAUUUAUAUGUAUUAUGUGUGUGUAAUAUAAAAGAGUUUUAAUUAAUUGGUUUAAAAAUGAGAGCUUAAAUCAAAUAUUUUCUCAAAAAAGCAAAAAGCAUAAUGCCUUUUAGUUCAUGUGACCUAAGUAAUCUUUGGGAAAUACAGACACUUGUAAAAAUUACUGGUAAAAUAAAAUAUCUUCAAAAAUGUAGACGUGUUCUAAGUUAUGCAAGUCAGAUAUUAGGUUUGCAUAAACUGCUUCUUUGACUUUUGAAAAUUGUUCAAUUUACCUACCUUGGAGACAUUAGAUUCUAGAUAAAGCCUGGGGACAUGUGGAAUUAGCCAUGCCCCAGCUAUGCAAAGAAGGUUAUGAAGAAAAGAUAUUUUAUAUAAGAAAAUAUGUUGUAUGAUAAAUUCUUGUCCUAAAGCAAAAUGACUGGUUGUUUAAAAAGAGGGAUUUUUUUUUAAUUAUUAUUAUACUUAAGUUCUGGGAUACAUGUGCAGAAUGUGCAGGUUUGUUACGUCGGUAUACAUGUGCCAUGGUGGUUUGCUGCAACCACCAACCCGUCAUCAACAUUAGGUAUUUCUCCUAAUGCUAUCCCUCCCCUUGCUCCCCACCCCCUGACAGGCCCCAGUGUGUGAUGUUCCCCUUCCUGUGCCCAUAUGUUCUAAAAAGAGGGAUGUUUAAGGCAAGUCUACACAUGUCUGUGACAUAAUUGGAGAAAUCGGUUAUUUCACCAAGGAUUUGAUUGGAAUGACAUGCUUUCCUUUUAGGAAUCAAACUUGACUUGUAAAGCCAAUAAAAGCCUUUUGAGGAACUGGCCUCAUACCUUGCCUACACAGUCUCUGUACAGGGUAUCUGACCUGAGGGCUAACCUUGCUUGUUCCUGUGAACCAACAAGUGAUCUCUAACUGCUGCUCAGAAGAAACAAGAGGGAUGGGUAAUGUAAAAAUCUGGAUCAGUAUUCUAAUCCUGGGCAUGUAUUGGAAUCAUCUAGAAGCCCCAUAUCAGCUUGGGUUCAACAGUUGCCCAGUUCAUGGAAAGUCUUCUAAUUUACUUUACUUGGGAUAAUUUUACUUAUUUUGCUUUACUCUUGUGGAACAUAUUGCUGUUGUACUCUUCAUGUAGGAAUGCAGAAUAAGCUUACUGAAUUACAUAUAUAUAUAUAUAUAUAUAUGCUUUAAGUUCUGGGGUACAUGUGCAGAACGUGCAGUUUUGUUACAUAGGUAUACACGUGCCAUGGUGGUUUGCUGCACCCAUCAACCCGUCAUCUACAUUAGGUAUUUCUCCUAAUGUUAUAUCUCCCCUAGCCCCCCACCACCUGACAGACCCCGGUGUAUGAUGUUCCCCUCCCUAUGUCCAUGUGUUCUCAUUGUUCAACUCCCACUUAUGAGUGAGAACAUGCAGUGUUUGGUUUUCUGUUCUUGUCAUAGUUUGCUGAGAAUGAUGGUUUCCAGCUUCAUCCAUGUCCCAGCAAAGGACAUAAACUCAUCCUUUUCAUGGCUGCAUAGUAUUCCAUGGUGUAUAUGUGCCACAUUGUCUUUAUCCAGUCUACUGUUGAUGGACUUUUGGCUUGGUUCCAAGUCUCUGCUAUUGUGAAUAGUACCACAAUAAACAUACGUGUGUAUGUGUCUUUAUAGUAGAAUGAUUUAUAACCCUUUGGGUAUAUACCCAGUAAUGGGAUUUUGGGGUCAAAUGGUAUUUCUAGUUCUAGAUCCUUGAGGAAUCACCACACUGUCUUCCACAAUGGUUGAACUAAUGUAUACUCCCAAUAGUGUAAAAGUGUCCCUAUUUCUCCACAUCCUCUCCAGCAUCUGUUGUUUCCUGACUUUUUAAUGAUCGCCAUUCUAACUGGCAUGAGAUGGUACCUCAUUGUGGUUUUGGUUUGCAUUUCUCUAAUGACCAGUGAUGAUGAGCUUUUUUUCAUAUGUCUGUUGGCUGCAUAAAUGUCUUCUUUUAAGAAGUGUCUGUUCAUAUCCUUCACCCACUUUUUGAUGGGGUUGUUUGUUUUUUUCUUGUAAAUUUGUUUAAGUUCAUUGUAGAUUCUGGAUAUUAACCCAUUGUCAGAUGGAUAGAUUGGAAAAAUUUUCUCCCAUUCUGUAGGUUGUCUGUUCACUCUGAUGAUAGUUUCUUUUGCUGUGCAGAAGCUCUUUAGUUUAAUUAGAUCCCAUUUGUCAAUUUUGGCUUUUGUCACCAUUGCUUUUAGUAUUUUAGACAUGAAGUCUUUGCCCAUGCCUAUGUCCUGAAUGGUAUUGCCCAGGUUUUCUUCUAGGAUUUUUAUGGUCCUAGGUCUUACAUUUAAGUCUUUGAUCCAUCUUGAGUUGAUUUUUGUAUAAGGUGUAAGGAAGGGGUCCAGUUUCCAUUUUCUGCAUAUGGCUAGCCAGUUUUCCCAACACCGUUUAUUAAGUAGGGAAUCUUUUCUCCAUUACUUGUGUCAAGUUUGUCAUUAUGACACUAGCUGGUUGUUUUGCCCAUUAGUUGAUGCAGUUUCUUCAUAAUGUCGAUGGUCUUUACAAUUUGGUAUGGUUUUUCAGUGGCUGGUACCGGUUGUUCCUUUCCAUGUUUAGUGUUUCCUUCAAGAACCCUUGUAAGGCAGGCCUGGUGAUGACAAAAAUCUCUCAGCAUUUGCUUGUCUGUAAAGGAUGUUAUUUCUCCUACACUUAUGAAGCUUAGUUUGGCUGGAUAUGAAAUUCUGAGUUGAAAAUUCUUUUCUUUAAGAAUGUUGAAUAUUGGCCUCCACUCUCUUCUGGCUUGUAGGGUUUCUGCAAAGAGAUCCGCUGUUAGUCUGAUGGGCUUCCCUUUUUGGGUAACCUGACCUUUCUCUCUGGCUUCCCUUAAUAUUUUUCCAUUCAUUUCAACCUUGGUGAAUCUGAUAAUUAUAUGUCUUGGGGUUGCUCUUUGUGGUGUUCUAUUUCCUGAAUUUGAAUGUUGGCCUGCCUUGCUAGGUUGGGGAAGUUCUCCUGGAUAAUCUCCUGAAGAGUGUUUUCCAUUUGGUUCCAUUCUCCUCAUCACUUUCAGGUACACCAAUUGAACACGGUUUGUUCAUUUCACGUAGUCCUAUAUUUCUUGGAGGCUUUGUUAAUUCCUUUUAAUUUUUUUCUCUCUAAUCUUUUCUUCUCUCUUUAUUUCAUUAAGUUGAUCUUAAAUCACUGUUAUCCUUUCUUCUGCUUGAUCAUUGCAGCUAUUGAAACUUGUGUAUGCUUCACGAAGUUCUCCUGCUGUGUUUUUCAGCUCCAUCAGGUCAUUUAUGUUCUUCUCUACACUGGUUAUUCUAGUUAGCAAUUCAUCUAACCUUUUUUCAAGGUUGUUAGCUUCCUUGCAUUGGGUUAGAACAUGCUCCUUUAGCUCGGAGGAGUUUGUUAUUACCCACCUUCUGAAGUCUACUUCCAUCAAUUUGUCAAACUCAUUCUCUGUCCAGUUUUGUUCCCUUGCUAGUGAGAAGUUGUGAUCCUUUGGAGGAUAAGAGGUGUUCUGGUUUUUGGAAUUUUCAUCCUUUUUGCGCUGGUUUCUCCCCAACUUUGUGGAUGUAUCUACCUUUCUUCUUUGAUGUUGGUGGCCUUCAGAUGGGGUCUUUGAGUGGACGUGCUAUUCCUUUCUGUUUAUUAAUUUUCCUUCUGACAGUCAGGCUCCUCUGCUGCCAGUCUGCUGGAAUUUGCUGGGGGUCCACUCCCGACCCUGUUUGCCUAGGUAUCACCAGCGAAUGCUCAACUGGAAAUGCAGAAAUCACCCACCUUCUGUGCCAAUCUCGCUGGGAGCUGCAGACCGAAGCUGUUCCUAUUCAGCCAUCUUGCUAGCAAAUGCCUGAAUGUUUUCUUAAACUGAACACCUAUUGAUCUUCCAGAUAUCACCAAGAAUCAUGAAUGGCCCUCACCAUACUGAUGCGUUCUGACUGAGCUUCUCUCUACCCUGAACACAAGAGACCCUAAUAGGCAGGAAUGUCAUCACCCCUAUUCAGCCUGAAGAAGUUAUAGAAGAUGGAUCUUUUUCCCUCUGCAACCUUUAGGAUUAUGGGUUCUUUUAUAAAAAGAGAGGGGGGAAAUGUCAGAGGAGCGUGAACCAGAGCAACUCCAUCUUGAAUGGGAACUGGGUAAAAUGAGGCUGAGACCUAAUGGGCUGCAUUCCCAGAUGGUUAAGGCAUUCUAAGUCACAGGAUGAAAUAGGAGUCGGUGCAAGAUACAGGUCAUGAAGACCUUGCUGAUAAAAUAGGUUGCAGUAAAGAAGGUGGCCAAAACCCACCAAAACCAAGAUGACCACAAGAGUAUCCUCUGGUCAUCUUCUCUGCUACACUCUCACCAGAGCCAUGACAGUUGACAAAUGCCAUGGCAAUGUCAGGAAGUUUCCCUAUAUGGUCUAAAAAGGAGAGGCAUGAAUAAUCCACCCCUUGUUUAGCAUAUUAUCAAGAAAUAACCAUAAAAAUGGGCAACCAGCAGCCCUCGGGGCUUCUCUGUUUAUGGAGUAGCCAUUCUCGUAUCCUUCUACUUUCUUAAACUUUCUUUCACUUACAAAAAAAUAGUGGAACUCAGAAGUAGAGAAUAAAAUGGUGGUUACCAAGUUCUGGAGAGGUGGGGGAUUAGAAGAUGUUGUUCAAAGAAUACAAAAUUUCAGUUAGGCAGGAAGAAUGAGUUCCAAAGAUCUAUUGUACAAUACAGUGAUACAUACUUAAUGACAAUGUACUGUAUAUGUGAAAAUUGCUAAGAGCACAUUUUCGGUAUUCUCACCACAAAGAAAUGAUGUGAGGUAAUGCAUAUGUUAAACAGCUUGAUUUAGCCAUUCCACACAUAUACAUAUUUCAGAACAUCGUGUUGUAUCCCGUUAAAUAUGUACAAUUUUGUUUGUCAAAAAGUGAAAAGAGAAAAGAAGGUAAACUCUGUUAUUGCAUGCAGUGGUCCACAAAUAUCAUUUAUGUCAAACUGUUAAACAUUCUUGUUCAAAUUACCUAUAUCCUUAAAAAUUUGUUAACUAAACUGUUUUAUCAGUUACUGAAUUAUGUUUAAAUCAUUACUUAUGACUGCAAUUUUAUUCAUUUAUCCUUUUAUUUCUGUCAAAUUUUGUUUUACAUAUUUCAACUAUUGAUAGGGUUGAAUACAAAUUUAUAAAUAUGCCUUACAACUGAAUUGAUCCCUUUAUCAUUAAAAAUAUUCAUCUUUAUAUAAGGUAAUAUCUCUUGAUUCAAAGUAUAU